UACGUAGGGUGCGAGCGUUGUCCGGAAUUACUGGGCGUAAAGAGCUCGUAGGUGGUUUGUCGCGUUGUUCGUGAAAACUCACAGCUUAACUGUGGGCGUGCGGGCGAUACGGGCAGACUGGAGUACUGCAGGGGAGACUGGAAUUCCUGGUGUAGCGGUGGAAUGCGCAGAUAUCAGGAGGAACACCGGUGGCGAAGGCGGGUCUCUGGGAAGUAACCGACGCUGAGGUGCGAAAGCGUGGGGAGCAAACAGG
rnacentral:rRNA from 1 species